rnacentral:lncRNA from 1 species
AUCUGCUCAGUAUGCAUCACAAAGCACAGGAACGCUUGCUAUUGUUUUAGCAGUAGUCUCUCUGGGAAAGCAGUGGUCAGGUUGGUCUUGCAGAACAGGCAGAGCUGCAAUUCCUCAAGAUAUUUAUAUGAAACGUAUCCAGUGGGAAUUGAGAUUCCUUCUGGGAUUUCUUUCUUGGACAGAAUAUUGCCAGUAAUAAGCUUUAACUGCUAUUAAUAAUCUAUUAACUCCUUUGAUGCGUCUAGAGAACACAGCUGUGUGACAGGAAAUCUUGUUUUGGGAGAAUGGAUGUAUGGAGUCAGUUCACCCUGAAAAAGAUAUUUGUGAGAAGAAGUAAAUAGAUUAAAAAAAAACAACUAAAAGUGGUUGCCUUAGCUGAGUGUUUGUUUCUCAUCUUAUUGUGCUUUAUAACACCACCAACUUCAAAGCCCAAUUAACACUUUCGUGAACGCAGUAUGACUGCUGAAGCAGCUCACGUGCUUUUUGCUGAAAAGAAGGUUGUUCUCUGAAUUCCUAAAGCAUUUCUCCAAACGUGCAGUUUUUGAACUUAAUUGAAAAUGACAACUUAUUGUUCUGCAGAAAACUGUAAAAAUGAUUUUUUUUUUUGCUGUAAGGUUUCCUUUAGUGUUGCUCUGAUUGGUGACAUAUACCUGCUUGGCUUCCUACCUAGGGGUGCUUUGUAACAGUAAUAGGAAAUUAAUGAGAGAAAACGACUAAUACUGGAAACAGAAUACUUAAUACUUCAGGUACUGAUAAUUUGUCAAAUCUGGGCUGCAAUGAUCCAGGCUGUUAACGACCGCUGUGUUGCAAUAGGAGAAAGAAACCCUGCUUGCUCCUACUGAAUCAUUCCAUAUGCUGGUAUCUUUGCUUUGAGACCUUGAGGAAGAAUACUAACAGCAAGAAGGAGGCAUAUUAACUUUAUGAAGAAAGAACAAACCUCCCACUUUGAUGGCUUCCACUAAACAUUUAGCUGUGCAAGUUUUGCCAAAGGACCACGUAAGACCUGAAUAAAGCCUUCAGCAUUUCUCUGCACUGGGAUAACCUGGACCCAUACCAGAUAUUGCUAUUGCAGAAUCCUGGGAGCACUUCCACUCUGAAGGACUUCCUCAUGAUGGCUGUAUGCUGCAGCGUUAGUGCAUGUGAUUCGAGAAUAAAGCAUGGGAUCCUGUGUGUUCUGAGUGAGUGCUGCUGUUUUCUGUAAGUGCUUCAUUAGGCAGUGCACAUACCUAGCAAGAAAAAGGAAAAGAAAGUGGGAAACAAAAG